ACGGGGUAGGAUCACGUAGGUGACGUACCCCCAGGGCGAGGAUAGCCACGGGAAACUGUGGGUAAUACUCGAUAAUCUUCCCGGUUGUGAUGACUGGGAAGCAAUGGGUGUGAUUCCACCUGGGGAGCGGCUUACGCAGUAUCAGCUAGUUGGUGAGGUAACGGCUCACCAAGGCUUUGACGCUUAGGGGGUGUGAGAGCAUGGCCCCCACCACUGGCACUGAGACACUGGCCAGACACCUACGGGUGGCUGCAGUCGAGAAUCUUCGGCAAUGGACGAAAGUCUGACCGAGCGACGCCGCGUGCGGGAUGAAGGUCUUCGGAUUGUAAACCGCUGUCAGAGGGGAUGAAGUAUACGAGAGCUAUCUCUUGUAUUUGACAGAGCCUCAGAGGAAGCACGGGCUAAGUUCGUGCCAGCAGCCGCGGUAAUACGAACUGUGCGAACGUUAUUCGGAAUCACUGGGCUUAAAGGGUGCGUAGGUGGUUUUCUAAGUCAUGUGUGAAAUCUUCUGGCUCAACCAGAAAACUGCGCGUGAUACUGGAGAACUUGAGUGAGGUAGGGGUGUGUGGAAUUUCCUGUGUAGCGGUGAAAUG
rnacentral:rRNA from 1 species